AUUGAACGCUGGCGGCAGGCCUAACACAUGCAAGUCGAACGAGUGGCGGACGGGUGAGUAAUGUCUGGGAAACUGCCCGAUGGAGGGGGAUAACUACUGGAAACGGUAGCUAAUACCGCAUACCAUCGGAUGUGCCCAGAUGGGAUUAGCUUGUAGGUGAGGUAACGGCUCACCUAGGCGACGAUCCCUAGCUGGUCUGAGAGGAUGAUCAGCCACACUGGGACUGAGACACGGCCCAGACUCCUACGGGAGGCAGCAGUGGGGAAUAUUGCACAAUGGGCGCAAGCCUGAUGCAGCCAUGCCGCGUGUAUGAAGAAGGCCUUCGGGUUGUAAAGUACUUUCAGCGGGGAGGCGUUAACCACAGAGGAAGCACCGGCUAACUCCGUGCCAGCAGCCGCGGUAAUAC
rnacentral:rRNA from 1 species